CAGCUUCUUCACACAUGCAAAUGGCUAAGACACUCUUCUCAUACUUCACCAUUCCCUUGUUUCUUUGCUUGUCUUCGCUUCGCUUAGUCACUUCAUUCCCUUUUGCUAGUGGUGAGAUUGAUUACAAUUACAACUACAAUUACUAUGACAGGUCAUGCCCCCGUUUGGGAAUGGUUGUUAAGUGUGGUGUCCGGGCUGCUUUCAAGAAUGACACCAGAAUCGCUGCAUCCCUCCUUCGAUUGCUUUUUCAUGACUGCUUUGUAAACGGCUGCGAUGCUUCGAUGCUUUAAGAUGACACGAUUGAUUUCAGGGGAGGGAAGAAUGCUUUUCCUAACCCUAAUUCAGCAAGAGGAUAUGAAGUCAUUGAAAGUAUCAAAGCAGAUGUUGAAAAGGCUUGCCCGUCAACUGUUUCAUGUGCUGAUGUAUUGACUCUUGCAGCAAGAGAAUCUGUCCUUUUGUCAGGAGGGCCUUAUUAUCCUCUUUCAUUUGGCCGAACAGAUGGAUUGACUGCAAGUGAGAAGGCAGCUAAUGAACAAUUGCCAUCACCUAUUGAACCACUAGAAAACAUCACUGCUAAGUUCACAUCAAAGGGUCUUGAUAUGAAGGAUGUUGUAGUCCUCUCAGGUUCUUGCCCUUUUUACUGUCUGGUCAUCGCU